rnacentral:rRNA from 1 species
GAGUGGCGAACGGGUGAGUAAUAUAUCGGAAACGUGCCCAACUGUGGGGGAUAACGUAGAGAAAUUUACGCUAAUACCGCAUACGAUCUAAGGAUGAAAGCGGGGGACCUUCGGGCCUCGCGCGAUUGGAGCGGCCGAUGGCAGAUUAGGUAGUUGGUGGGAUAAAAGCUUACCAAGCCGACGAUCUGUAGCUGGUCUGAGAGGACGACCAGCCACACUGGGACUGAGACACGGCCCAGACUCCUACGGGAGGCAGCAGUGGGGAAUUUUGGACAAUGGGCGAAAGCCUGAUCCAGCAAUGCCGCGUGUGUGAAGAAGGCCUUCGGGCUGUAAAGCACUUUUGUCCGGAAAGAAAUGGCUCUGGUUAAUACCUGGGGUCGAUGACGGUACCGGAAGAAUAAGGACCGGCUAACUACGUGCCAGCAGCCGCGA